rnacentral:rRNA from 1 species
GACGAAGGAUGCAAGCGUUAUCCGGAUUCAUUGGGUUUAAAGGGUGCGUAGGCGGCCUGAUAAGUCAGUGGUGAAAUCUCCUCGCUUAACGAGGAAACUGCCAUUGAUACUGUUGGGCUUGAGUACAGAUGCUGUGGGCGGAAUAUGACAUGUAGUGGUGAAAUACAUAGAGAUGUCAUAGAACACCGAUUGCGAAGGCAGCUCACAAAACUGUAACUGACGCUGAGGCACGAAAGUGCGGGGAUCAAACAGGAUUAGAAA